AACUUCUCAAUUAUAACUCUUUUUUCAUUUGUAAAUACACAUCACUGUAUCUCCAUCAAUAACUAAAUAAAUACUUAGUCACCUAAAUGUGUGUCGUCAGCGUCCCUAGACGCCGAGUUUACAUGGGAGCUUCGACCGGUUCUUCUUCAGUCAAGGUGUCCCAGAUUUGCUCUUAAGACGCUUGAGCAUUCAAGAUGGUCUGGAGAAAUAACACUUCUUCUUCCAUCAAGACGUUCCAGGAUGAUCUAUUGACACUCCAAAUUUUGUUGUAACUCCAUCAUCGCCAGGAAGCCCUGUCGUGUCAGGAUACCCGAGUGUGAGUAGCAGGAGUUCAACAACUCAACACAACUAACGGCAUUGCAGUGAGACGAAGGGUGGAUGAUGGAAGCGAAAGAGAGCAGUCAUGUUUACGACUAAGACGUAUUAAUAGAUGGCGAAGCUGUUAACUUCUCAAUUAUAACUCUUUUUUCAUUUGUAAAUACACAUCACUGUAUCUCCAUCAAUAACUAAAUACUUAGUCACCUAAAUGUGUGUCGUCAGCGUAGAAAUUCCCUAGACGCCGAGUUUACAUAUAUAU